rnacentral:rRNA from 1 species
UACGUAGGGUGCAAACGUUGUUCGGAAUUACUGGGCGUAAAGCGCGUGUAGGCUGCUUGGAAAGUCGGAUGUGAAAGCCCUGGGCUCAACCUAGGAAGUGCAUUCGAAACUUCUGAGCUUGAGUAUCGGAGAGGAAGGCGGAAUUCUCGGUGUAGAGGUGAAAUUCGUAGAUAUCGAGAGGAACACCGGUGGCGAAGGCGGCCUUCUGGACGAUUACUGACGCUGAGACGCGAAAGCGUGGGGAGCAAACAGG